GUGUUUGGUUUAGGGAUGAGGUGG
rnacentral:miRNA from 2 species